UGUUGCUUGGUGACGGUGAGGCUCCCCGGCCCCGCCCAUCCCCCCGUGCAGACGUCACGCGGGGGUGAAGGCGGUUGGGAGGAGAAGUCGCUCGAGCGGGGAAGCGGCGGCCGUUAGGAAAAUGGCGCCGUGCGGCCCGGGGCAGACCCCCGUCACUGGUCACCGCCGCCUUCCUGGCGCAGCUGCUGUGUCACGGCCACACCGGCCGGCUGUACAGCAGGCAGGAGCCGGUGACCGUUCUGGAGGCGGAUGGGGUUAAGGGCCUGCUUGGGAACUGGUCGGCCGCCUGGGUGGUGGAGUUCUACUGGUCGUGGGGCGGCCCCUGUGUCAACUAUGGGGCCACCUGGAAGGUACUGGGCCCGGGAGGUGAAAGAAAAGAUACAAGAUCUUCUUUUGAUGGACCGAUAAGGAGCACUGGAGGACCUGAAGGUGACUUGUCCUCUUGCUAAUCAGAGCUCCCCUACUGUCUGAAAGCAGAAGCUGGACCUUGACCUUCUGAAGCUGCUGCUGCUCCACUCUCUCAAUGACGAUUGAGCUUCAGCCCGGACUGCAACUUCCUUCCUUUGUCUAACAUCUAUUUCCAGCAUCCACAGUUAUUUGUUGCUUGUUUAGUAAUCUGGAUGUUAUCAGAUUUACGGGGAAUAGAAUGUUUCAGGCCUUCAGGAGUGUGACAGAAGAAUCAAACUCAAGAGGUGACAAAUGCAUGGAUGUAAUUUUCAGAAGCAUAUGAACUGAGGUGGGGCAGGGUCAGAAAUUAUUCCUGAAAUUUGAAAUGGUGGUCACAAUGAAAGUGUGGAAGCUCAUCUGAGAGGUAAAUCAUUUACCAAGCUUUCAAGUGGCUAGUUCAACUUCACACAUUUGACAUGAAGAUAGAUGGAACUGGUGGCUGGAGAGUGGUGUUUGCUGUUUGGUUUGGACAUAAUUGAUUUGAACUUCUCAUUAUUUAAUUGUGCAAAAUUUAUGUAAAACGUCUUGUAUUAAUUAUACCUAAAAUCUCUCCCAUUUCUCACUCUGCCUGUCUCUGUCCCCCUCACUGCCUUUCCCCCUUCAGGGAUGAGACUCAUGUGUAAGUUCAGACCAGGAAGUGAGGUUUCUUCAUUGAAGAACAUCAUUGGAUCAGUGACAAUCCAUUCAUGUUUGUGAUCACUAUUUCCGAGUUUUGACCCCAUAAAUGAUCAAAAUAAUUCAGGUCUCUAUAGUUUU